CUGGCUUCAUUUUUUUGAUUGUUUACUUGAAGCCACGGCAAAAUUAUUAUGUUUCCUCUUUAACUUGCUUCAAUUGCUUCAUUGCCUUGGAUCGAAAAUUCAAUUCCAUUAGAGGCUCAUGGGAGUAAAUGAACCACUUACUACAGCCACGUGCUCAGAUUUCGAAGAAGGAAGAAGGAUUUCAAAUGUAAAAAGAGCAGCCAAGAAGUACCAACCUCUUAUUAAAAAUGGGAAACAACAACGAACGACAAAUUGACUUGUAGUAUUAAAAUUAUUCAGUAGAUGUCACCUUCACAGUUUCCUGUAUUUAACAUUUGACAAAAAUAGCAGGAAUAAUUUCAUAUUCAAAUUAAUUUGUAUGUAACUAUUGGAUGACCUGUGUAUUACUAGAAAUAAAACGA